rnacentral:rRNA from 1 species
UACGUAGGGGGCAAGCGUUGUCCGGAUUUAUUGGGCGUAAAGCGCUCGCAGGCGGCUCGAUGCGUCGUGCGUGAAACACCCCGGCUCAACUGGGGAGGGUCGUGCGAUACGGUCGGGCUGGAGGCCAGUAGGGGGAUGCGGAAUUCCGGGUGUAGUGGUGGAAUGCGUAGAGAUGUGGAGGAACACCGAUGGCGAAGGUAGCCUCCUGGGCCAGCACUGACGCUCAUGCACGAAAGCGUGGGGAGCAAACAGG